CGAAAGCGAAACUUAACUCGUCUCCUCCAUUUUGUCUCUAAAGCGAGUAUACGGAGCAUCAUGGAGCUUCUACUGUUUUAUUUUCUGACUUUGGCUGGAAUAACAUACUGUGUUGAAGUCACCAAGAUGAAGUGAAAGAAGAUGAAGACGUCAUUUUACCCUGUUCCUUAGACUCUACAACAUUCGGUCUGAGACCUUUGACUGGAAGAAAGAUGAUCAGAAGGAAUGUGUCCUGUACAGUGCAGGGACUCAUUAUAAUAACGGACGUCCAGGUCAAGAUCCACAGUUCAAAGGUCGAGUCUUUCAUUUUGAAGAUCAGCUCCAGUCUGGUAAUGCCUCCAUAGAAAUCAGAAACACAAAGGUGACAGACAGUGGAAGGUACAGCUGUAUUUUUCCACUUCCACAGAAGACAAGAUCCAUCAUUGAGCUCAUUAUUGGUGAGUACUUCCAUGAAACAGUUAAAGACUCCUGAUUAUUUACAGAAGUGACUGGUUCAUGUGUCCCAGAUGAACUCAAGUCAAAUUAUCAUCAGUCAGAAAAACAGUUUACAUCAUAAUAUAUGUUUGUUGAUGACGUCACUGAUGAAUGAUCUCACCUGGAUGUGAUGAAACUAAUCACUGAUUAUUGGACACAUUUAUACACCAACAUCUCUUUAGUUUGUACCAGUUUUAAUCCUGUAGAAGGUUUGUAAAUAGUUUUUAUAUAAAUGAAGUGACCUGAAACUAUAGAAAGUACAUUUUUGACGUCUGGAUGAUUCUCAAUACUUUAUUUAUGAUGCACUAAUAUUGAUAAAGGUUUUGGUUUUAGCUGUUGUAGCUGUGUAGGUUAAAAUCAGAUGAUCUUUACAUCUCCAUGUAUCACUGAUGGAGACAUUAUUAAUAUUUUCUACAUAUAUACCAGUGAUGUUCUUUAUUUCCAUUCUAAUGAAUCCAGUUUCAGUCAGUGUUUCUGUAAUGAUCCUCUGACAUUGAUUGAGGCGUCUCAGUCGUCAGUUUCUCCUUCAUAAAAGUACUUCAGUCUAAUUCUACAGCUCUGUAGUGUCUCCUACUGCAGUUUCUGAUGUUUAGUUUCAUGUAUAUGAUCAUUAGGGUGAAUAUUUGUGGAGCUAUGAUAAGACAUUUAUUGUGUAUUAUUAAUUCUGGGAGAUCAGAGUUAUAAGAAGAUUAAUGUGUUGGGAUGGUGAGUUGUAUUUUAUUUGAUUCUUCAAUUCUCCCAUAAUUUCUACUUUUAACUUUAUAAUGUUUUUGUUGUUAAACUGUCAGAAAUGUGUAAACAUGUAUUUAAUAGUGAAGUUAGUGUUGUACUAGAUUAUAUUGUAUUGAGGUGUUUCUAAUAUUGUGGCCAUCCCAUAUUAAUACAUUAGUGGAGCAGAUUAUUAAGAACUCCACUCAGGAUAAAACAACACAACACAUCACUGAUUCUGACCUCAGUAGUUCAACAUACAGUCACUGGCCAGUUUAUUAGGUACAGCAGUGAAUUCAUUCUAAUAUAACAGUCCUGCUCUAAAUCUAGUCUCCAUGAAGGUUCUGGUGUUCAGCUUUAGUUUCUAAUCACUGACACAUGUUGGUUCAACUGUGUUUUCAUUUUGAUACUAUACUAUUUAAUACCUUUGCACUGACACAUGUUCCUAUUGUUUUGACAUCGUAGUCAGUGGCUAGACUAAAUAACAGAAACACUUUAGUGUUUAACUGGUGGAACAGAGGAGGAACUAAAUAUGUGACUCUGAUGUGAACUGAUCCAGAACAGAGUUGAAGUAGUUGAUGAUAAGAAGUCAGUGACAUUAGAGACGUCACAGUAGUAGAGUUUAUGAACACAGCAGUGGUAGAGGAGACAUUAGAUGGUAAUGGUGCAGGUGUACCUAAUAAUAUGGCCACUAACUGACACUGACAGGAUUCAACCCUGACAAUAAAAGAUGUUAAACUUUUUAUCAUCCAUUUCUUAGUGAGUGUUCAUGUUGUUGAGUCAGAAACAGUGUUGUUGCCGUGGUGAUGAGUUAAUAAAUCUGGAGUUAAAUCUGGUUUAAAGUUUAAAUCAAACACUGCUGAGAUGAAUCAGAUGUAAUUAUGAGCUGCUUUUAUAUCCACAUGUUUUACUGAGUUUCUCUUAAAUAUGUUUUAAGUCACAUAAACCAGCAGAGAAUGGAUGAAAACACUUCAUCAUUUGCCACUUUAUUAGGUACACUAGUAAAAACAAAUGAUUUCUAAUACAACAACAACAAUGAUCUAGAUCAUCCAGGUCAAUCAUCACCUUUCUGACCAAUAAUUCAUAAAACAUUGGUCAUGAAGGAGGAUUUAGAUCAGGACUGUUACAGUAGAAUAUAUUCACUAGUGAACCUAAUGAACUGUCUAAUACCUCACACAGAAAAACAUGUUGCUGCUACUUCUACAUUUACACUAUGAACUCUUUAUUUUAUUCUAUUUAUUAUUUAUGUUUAAUACUAGUAAAGGUCUUAAUGUUCUGUACUUUAGUUAUUAUUCCUUCAGUGUUAGGAUAUGUCUGUCUUUAUCUGUUGUGGACUUUAUCUCUUCACUGUGGGAUAGUGAGAAAUGUUUUCUCAGUCCCUUUGUGUGUCUGCUACAUGUGUCUAGUUAUGCGUCUAAUAUUGUGUUUCUCAUAAGUUGUUGUUUGUGUUCACAGGUACAGCUCUAAAUCCUGUCAUAACACAUCAUGAAGCAAAGGAAGGAGUGUUGCUGCAGUGUGAAGUUCGAGGUGCUUCUCCAAAACCUAAACUAGUCUGGAAGGACAGAGCUGGAAACAUCCUUCCUGCUGAAGAACCAGAGGUCACAGAAGAUAAAGGCAUCUACAACGUCAUCCUCAAAGCUACUGUGACCAAGACCAACACCUAUCGCUGUGUAUCCACACAAGAGGAAAUCAAACAUGAAGUUUAUACUGAGACAUAUGUGUCUGUUCCUGGUAAGUUUUCUCCUUCUUAUUACAUCUCAUCUGUCUCCAAAAACAUUAAAUUGUGUUUAGACUAAAACAAACUGGGAUUCAGACAUAAAAUGAGCAGCUCCAGUCAGAUUUAAACUGUUAUUUCAGUUGGUUUUAGUUCAUUAAAAAAUGUUUCUCCACAACCAUCAUCAGGAGCCACUGGUUCAUCUCUUCACUGAGACUGAGAGUCAGUUUCCUCCAUGAGAGAAAAAACUAACGCUGCCUUCAAAUCAAACUCAAAUUACAAGUUGUGUUUAUUGAAUGUUUGGUUAUUUAAUAUAGGAAAUGUUAAAGUCAUAUUUAAAAGAUGAGGCCGUUGUGAAUAUCAACAUUUACCUCAGACGUGAUUUAAAAUUAAAUCUCUAUACGACUAAAUUACAAUAUAUAGAUUAAUAUAUCAUUUUAAACACAUCACAACUCCUGAACUUGGACCUCACACAAAACUUCCAGCUACAAGGUUGUUAACACCACAAGACUAAACCAAACUACUACACAACAAAUAAAAACUAAAGUUAAACAAAGUCACUCUGGAAACUAAAGUGAAAAGUAACAAAACUCUAAUGAGUCGACUGAUUGAACCAAUCACAGCUGCUGUUUGAUCCCAGAAUAAGACUGUAGCUCAGACUGAGAUAAACAGCUGAUUUACACUCAGACGUCAACACAAUAAUGAAACAUAGAAUGAUAUAAACGUGUAAAAAGACUGAACUUAGAUUGUUCUCCUGUAGAUGAAACAACUGUCUGUGUUUAUUGAUGUGAAGUUAAUGAGUCAGUUUGAGCCUAUAACGAGUUUCUGAGACCUCUGCUCCACCAACAUCAUCAACACUUCACUGAAAAACCUGCUGACAACAAGAAGGAGACUUGUCAUCUGCCCCCUGGUGGAUUUAUCCAGGCUCUGCACCCACUGGCUUUUACAGGAGUUUACAGAUUUAUUUAUGUUUUCACAGAAAUCUUAGUUCAUUUUCAAAAGUUUACAUUAAAAAUAUAAUUUAUGUUUUUACUGAUAUUUCAAUAUAAAUAAUUACUUCAUUAAAUCAACCUUCAACUUCAUACUUUAUACAUUAUGUUAUAGUGAAUCAUUGGGGAUUUAAUGUGAAUCUCUGAAUAACUUUAUUUAUUGACAUGAGUGAAUGUAAAUGUUUCAUUAAUGAGUUUAAAGUGUAUUCAGAGGUUGAAGAGGCUCCUGCUGACCCAGCACCAAGAAACACGUCAUGAUUUGAAUCUUUACUGAAGUUAAUAAAUACUACAAUGAAAAAAGAUCUGAGUUCAAAAGUCACUGAACCAAAAAGAAUCAACAAAACAAACUUAGAGUAGAAUUAAACAGUUUAUAAAUGUGCUAAAUUAGAAUUAGAAACCUUUACUUGUCCAAGAAUGGAGAAAUUUCAGUUUACAACAGAAUACAAAAGUAAAUAACAAGAGUAAAGAGUGUAGGGUAAGAUAAAAGAUAAAUAAUAAAAAAUAAAAUAGACAUGUGCAAAAAGUAUUACACAGAUGAUGAUUAUCAGAUAUUAGUUGUACACAGUAAAUAAGAGUAAAUUACAGUAUAAAUGAGUAUAAAUUGUAGUUGUUAGCGUGUUUAAACUGUAGCUGCAGUAGUAGAGUAGUUGUUCUUAGUUUGUCUCCAGCCCUGACAGUCGUGGUUGUAACAGAGCUGCAGCAGAACGUGGAGUCAGAUGUUAACAUGUUGGUGUUACUGGACGUCUCAGUCUGCUCAGUGAAGCAUGAACCUUGUUAAGUGGAGAAUAUUUGAUGUGAACAAAGCUCAUCAAUAGAAGCAUCAUCAGAUGAAGAUGUCUCUGAGAUGUAGUCCAGAGUCCAUCCCAGCCUGGGCUCAGGGUGGAGAAAACCUCCAGACAGACUGUCAGACAUGUUUUCACAUCUCAGGAUCACAGCAGGAGGAAAAGCACAAGUCACAUGGAAAAGGCUAAAGUAGAGAGGCAGGACAGAGAUUCAAAGCUCCUUCAUACUGAUGAACAACACGUCUCAGAAAGAGGAGGAUGCUACAACAUCAGCCUCCUCACUACUGACACCAAAACCUAAAGCAAGCUGUUAGCUGUGAACCCAAGCAGGAGGAAACUGGACAUUAGAUCCAUGCUGACAUCACUGAGCCUGCUUUGAAUCUGCACUGACUGCUACAGUUUAGAUUUCAGGACCAUCAACACAUGCUGCUGUUCUCUCUGACUGUGUCACAUUAACUUCAUGUCUUCUGUUUCAGGAUCAUCUGCUGGACUGAUUGUUGGAUUGGUUGUUGGUGUUGUUGUUGUUGUUGUUGUUGUUGUUGCUGGUGUUGUUCUUUACUUCAAAAGAAAAUAUAAAGGUAGAGGUGGUGUAGUUUAAUGAACCAGAGGAUCGACCGUUGGACCAACAAUUCAUCUGAUGAUUUCUCUGUUUCACUUUAGUCUGAAACUAUUUAUUGACUCAUCUUUGGUUCUUGUAAGAUUUUUUUUUAAAGUUCAGGUCUAGUUUUAAAGUUAACAGAAGAUUGUUUCUCUAUUAACUCUGAGGUUUUUCACAGUGAAGGAUGAGACCAUGAACGACACAUUCAGUUUGCUUCUGUUCUUCUGAAAACUACUUUGAGUUUCAGUGAAAACAUUUGGAAAAAAUUGGGACAUUUUAUCAGAAUAUUUUCUCAGUCAGAGAAUAGUUUCAUUUUCAUUUAAAUCCAAAAUGUACAGAAUGGAUCCAUGUCACUGAUGUAUGUUUAGUUGUAAAAUGGUGCAUGCUUACAUACACAGUGUUUUUCUCCUUUAGAUAAAGAGGCCUGUUAAAUAUACAGUGAAUGUAUCAGUAAAUAUGAAUUCCUCUGAGUUACACAUGAAGAAAAGGAAAACUUCUGUCAGCUCUUUGAAUUCAUGAUGCUGGUUUCUUGAAAUAUUCAUUUUUAAUUUAAUUUCUAUCCUGAACAAUGAAACAGCUGAUAGUGAAUGAAAUCUAUGAAAGUUCAGCACCUGAGGAGCAGAACUGAUCACUAGUGUUGAAGAUAUUAUCUGUAACUUUGUAAAAAUGUAAAUGUCUUGUAUGAAGAGUUAACUGGAGUCAGUGUACAGUGUACAGAAACAUAUGGACUGAAACUCCUAAUGUGUUAAUAAUUGAUCAUCCACAUGUUGCUGCCUUUUGAUUUUAUCAUGUAUUUGUUUGUUUUUUUGUCCAUUUUUACUGUGUUGUAAUCCAAUAAUAUCAAAGAUCAUUGAAGCCUAAAAUAUAAUAAUUGUGUGUUCAGUUAAAAAAAUAAAAGGAAUGAAAGACA